GUUUUCAACUGAAAAAGUCGUCAAAAACAAAGUUGUAUAACUCAUCAAUAUCUAUAAAUUUUAUUUUGGUCAUUUCUUCAUCCGACAAAGUGAUCUGUAACAUUAUUCAUAAAAUGUACAUCUCUCUUGUAUAGUUUAUAAACUAUAGGAGAGAGAUGUAAAUUUGGUGAACAAUGUACAUCGUUUUGUCUUAUGAAAAAAUAACCAAAAUAAACAUUAUAGAUAUUGAUGAGUUAUACAACUUUGAUGUUGAUUACUUUUUCAUUUGAAAUC
rnacentral:pre_miRNA from 1 species